UACAGAGGUCUCAAGCGUUGUUCGGAUUCAUUGGGCGUAAAGGGUGCGUAGGCGGCGCGGUAAGUCGGGUGUGAAAUCUUGGAGCUUAACUCCGAAACUGCAUUCGAUACUGCCGUGCUUGAGGACUGGAGAGGAGACUGGAAUUUACGGUGUAGCGGUGAAAUGCGUAGAUAUCGUAAGGAAGACCAGUGGCGAAGGCGGGUCUCGUGGACGAGUUCCUGACGCUGAGGCACGAAGGCCAGGGGAGCAAACGGG
rnacentral:rRNA from 1 species